ensembl:snoRNA SNORA71 Small nucleolar RNA SNORA71
ACCUGUAUCGAAAGUGAAUAUGGCAUGACUGUUGCCAUUGUCAUUGAUAGUACAGGAACAAUAAUCUGAAAGAUUUUCCCGUGUUUGUUGGAAUAACUUCCUGUCAAACCCUGUAUCUUUCAAACA